rnacentral:rRNA from 1 species
UACGGAGGGUGCUAGCGUUGUUCGGAAUCACUGGGCGUAAAGGGCGUGUAGGCGGUCUGUUAAGUCUGAUGUGAAAUCCCCCUCGCUCAACGAGGGAACUGCGUCGGAUACUGGCAGACUUGAGUACCGGAGAGGAAGGUGGAAUUCCCGGUGUAGCGGUGAAAUGCGUAGAGAUCGGAAGGAACGCCCGUGGCGAAAGCGAGGUCCUGGACGCCUACUGACGCUGAGACGCGAAAGCCAGGGGAGCGAACGGG